GAAAAGAAAGUAAUAUGUCAAAGAAGCAAGCUUGGGGUUGAAGAGAAGAACCUCUCCAAUCUCAUCUCAGAUAAAUAUUUUUUAAAAAAAAAAGGAAAAAAGGAAGAUUUUAAAAAAGUUUCUAAUAAUUUUAGAUUAAAAAAUUAUUUUAAAAGAGAAGGAAGGAAAUUACAAGGAGUAAAGUGAUUAGGUUCUGUAAUAAUUUAGCAAGCAAGAGCAGUUGGGCAGUAGUUAGUGUGUCUUUUAAAAUCAUACAUGUCACCUGUUGGCUUGAGCAGGUAAGCCAAGGCGUCUCUCUCUCUCUCUCUCUCUCUUCUUUUGUGCAUGUUUUUCUCUCUCUUGUUAAUGUCUUUCUAGGUUCAUAGGGGAAGUCUACAUUGUCUGUGAUCUAUUUGAAUAAUAAAGGUUGGUAUUUGAUUCUUGCUUUACUGUUUGUGGAAAUACCCAAUUGGUGAAUUUGGUUUUUCUUGUCAAAUUUAAGCAAGCAUUUGAUGCUCUUGGAGGUACUAUCAAAUGCCCAUUUAGGGGACUGUGAAUGAAACUCUGUUUCAUUUCGGUUUUUGCAUAAUUCAAGUAGAAUUUGAUGCUUUUUGGCCUUAUCUGGAAUCCCAUCUGAGAAUAUCUCAAAAGGUUCUCUGCAACUUCCCUUUUCUUGGUUACUUGGGGUUGUUGGCCCUUCUGAUUCAAAACUUGAACAACUAAUCUUUUCAAUUCUCUACCACCAUUUUUUUUUUUCUAAUUCCAUAUUCACCCCUUUAGAGUUUUGAGUUCUUCCUCCUGAGUUAGCUCCUAAAUGAAGAGAUUCAAAGACUGCUAAAUGAUAUUACUAAUACAUUGGUGUAUUAAAUGAGUGGAGCUGCUUUCUUGUGCAAGCAAAAGUGAAAAGGGAAUCUGCUUUCCUUUUGUAAGGUCUGGUGAGCUGUUAGUUGGCUAAUGCAAUUGUUUGUCUACGUCUACUUUAUGCUCUGAAAGGUUCACUUUCUUGUCUGUGGGAAGCAUUUUCCGAUUUUUGCCUUGCAUAUUAGAGUAGACUUGAUUCUAGGGUUUUUGAAAGACCAAGUUAGUAGCUGGUGCUGGUUAGAUUUUAUGCUUGAUACAUUGGAUUUCCUCUUUUUCACUUUGUGUGUCCAUGGGAUGCUGCAUUGAGGUGUUUCUUUUACUUUAGCAUCCCCCCAGUUCUAUAAAGCUGCCAAUGUUACUUGUUCCUUGUUGAGUCCUGCAAGAUAUCACCAGCCAAUUUUGGUCAAACCCACUUUGCCUUUAAUUUUUUUUUUACUUCUUUCUAUUUUGUGUCUAUAUUUAGCUUUUUAUUAGCCAAUCUGUUGGGUUGGGGUGUCCACAAAAUCAUAGAUAGGUUUUGUUCCUUAGAAUUUGGGGGGUUUUGCUUUUGAAUCUACCACAACAUGGGCAGUACUAGUGAUAACAAUGAUGGUAUGGCGUUUCAAAGUGGAGGGCAAAGUGUUAUGAAUUGUCAGUCUUCAGGCAUGACCACAAAUCCCUUCUUUGCUUCUCCUGCUUGGGAUCCAGUUGUUUCACUAGGUCAGCAUGACAGUUUUGGAGGUUCAUCAAUGGUCACUCAAACUGAAUUUACCAAUUCUUCUUACCCUGUUGUGAUGGAAAACCAGGGAAUCACUACCACUUCCCAUCUUGUUCAUUACCCAUCUGAUUCAAGUUAUGUUGAGCUGGUACCCAAGUUCCCUUCUUAUGGAAGUGGAAGCUUCUCAGAAAUGGUUAGCUCCUUUCAUCUCACAGAUUGUGGUCCCCAGAUUGCCAAUACUGGGUCCCAUCCUAAUUACGCCUCAAACAAGGACCCGAAUAGUGAAAGGACUGUGACAAAUGGUGCACAAUCUCAAGAGGAUCAUCAAUUAACAGAGGAUCAUAUUUUAGGAGCUUCACCUGAUGGAAAGAGAAGGAAAAGAUUGGCUGAGCCCAAUUCUGCUUUUGAUCCAAAUAAGACUGCUGAAGGAGAGCCACAGAAGGAUCCUUCUGGAAAUAGCUCUGAUUUUCAAAAAGAACAGGAUGAGAAGAAACCAAGAACUGAACAAAAUACAGGUGCUAAUUUGCGGGGUAAACAAGCAGCCAAACCAACUAAGGACAAUUCUAACAGUGGAGAAGCUCCCAAAGAGAAUUACAUUCAUGUGAGAGCGAGAAGGGGUCAGGCUACCAAUAGCCACAGCCUUGCAGAAAGGGUCAGAAGAGAAAAGAUUAGUGAGAGGAUGAGAUUACUACAAGAACUUGUUCCUGGAUGCAAUAAGAUUACUGGAAAGGCAGUGAUGCUUGACGAAAUCAUCAAUUAUGUGCAAUCAUUGCAACAACAGGUCGAGUUUUUAUCGAUGAAACUUGCCACUGUGAAUCCAGAACUAAACAUAGAUAUUGAGAGGAUUUUAUCCAAAGAUGUAAGCCAAGAUCCUCCAUCCACGAGGCGGCAAUUCUGCUUUUAUGGGAUUCACUCCUGGAAUGAAUGCUCAUCCUUAUUCUCAUGGAAUGUUUCCAUCAACCAUUCCUGCUAUUCCUAAUACUAAUCCACAAUUUCCUCAUGUCCCUCAUACUGUAUUAGACAACGAUCUCCAAAGUCUUUUCCAAAUGGGAUUUGAUUCCAGUUCUGCUAUGGAUAGUUUGGGACCCAAUGGGCGCAUGAAACCGGAGCUCUAGAAUUUGGAAGAGACAAAAGGCUCUAAUUCCUCCUAACAAAGAAUUGGAAGUAGUUCAAGUUGAUUUGCACAUUGAAGAUCUAGGAAAUGAAAAAAAAAAAAAAAGAACAGUGAAAAAAAAAAGAAAGAAAAGCUAUUUGCUUGUAUAGGUUUCAGCUCCUAACUGCUUUGUUCUUCGAAAUUUUAGCAGAAGAAAUGAUCAAGUGUUUAGAAUCACACAAAUGUAUAUUUUUAGACAAAAAAAAAAGGGGAGAGUUUGAUUGAAGUUCCAUUUUUUUUUUCUUUGGCAGUUGGCCUUGUGAAUUAGAGGAGGUUCAUAUGGAGCUUUGUAAAAGUGUAUUUUCCUUGGGGAGAAAAGAGUUUCUUGUAGACUAGAUCAAGCUGCCAAGUUAAUUCCCAUAUAUACUGCUUUGAUGCAGGUUUUGUCAUAUUUUAUCUGAACUGCGACAUUGUCUUUAAUUUAUCUAUUUGUCGUUUUUAUCUU